rnacentral:rRNA from 1 species
CCUACGGGGCGCAGCAGUGGGGAAUAUUGGACAAUGGGCGAAAGCCUGAUCCAGCCAUGCCGCGUGUGUGAAGAAGGCCUUCGGGUUGUAAAGCACUUUCAGUGGGGAAGAAAGCCUUGGGGCUAAUACCCUCGAGGAAGGACAUCACCCACAGAAGAAGCACCGGCUAACUCCGUGCCAGCAGCCGCGGUAAUACGGAGGGUGCGGGCGUUAAUCGGAAUUACUGGGCGUAAAGCGCGCGUAGGCGGUCUGAUAAGCCGGUUGUGAAAGCCCCGGGCUCAACCUGGGAACGGCAUCCGGAACUGUCAGGCUAGAGUGCAGAAGAGGAAGGUAGAAUUCCCGGUGUAGCGGUGAAAUGCGUAGAGAUCGGGAGGAAUACCAGUGGCGAAGGCGGCCUUCUGGACUGACACUGACGCUGAGGUGCGAAAGCGUGGGUAGCAAACAGGAUUAGAUACCCGGGUAGUC